CCCUCUUUAGGCCCCGCGGUGCGUUUGGCAGCGCGGCUACUGAGACACUGGCGGGAGGCAGGGUGUGAAGCCUUCCUAUUGGAACCUCGGUGCUGGGACAGUGGGACUCAGAGCAGCUCUCUAGACGCCAGGUCCACGCUCAUGGCUGAUGAUGUCAGGUACUAACAACGUCGCCCAGGCCCGGAAGCUGGUGGAGCAGUUGCGCAUCGAAGCUGGGAUCGAACGCAUCAAGGUCUCCAAGGCCUCGUCAGAACUGAUGAGCUACUGUGAGCAACAUGCCCGGAAUGACCCCUUGCUGGUUGGUGUACCAGCCUCUGAAAAUCCAUUCAAAGACAAAAAGCCUUGCAUAAUUCUCUAGUUCUCUCUCUCUUCCUCCCUCCUUCCUCUCCCUCUCUUUC
rnacentral:lncRNA from 1 species